GCAUUGGUAUAUAUCAAUUAGGUGAAUGACAUGAUUUUUAAUGCUUAGAGAUUUAGGAGGAUGCUUAAAGGGGUGGGGGGAACCCAUUGAAUAAUGCUUAUCGAGUCCUAUGCAAUUCAUGUAGAAUCACUGAGUUUUAUGGCUUGAAUAAUUUUAAUGGUUGGGUUACCAGCUCUAAAAGGAGAUAUUCUUGUAUUGAGGACAGGUGGCUUGAGGGUGAUGCAACU
rnacentral:misc_RNA from 1 species